AUGCAGCUAGUAAAUGUAACAUUUCUGGAAAGAAGAUAAUCAUCAUUUUGGAAAACAUCAUAGGUGAGGACAUCACGGUUUCAUGAAUAUAGUGAGAGGGAAGACGAUCAGUGCCUAGGAGCCUGGAGACCCUGCCAUCAUCCCUGGUUUCUUGAACUACUUUCUCAAACAAAUGUGGUCCCAUUUGGUUCACACUCAUCUGAAAUCCUAUUGGAACAUUCAUAUGUGUUGUCAGACUCUGACAGAGGUACAACUCUUCAUCUAUCUUUUUUCUUACUGUUUCUUCUGUUUCAUGAAAAGUAAACUGUAUCUUUUCUUUAAAAAACCUCUUUAGUCCUC